rnacentral:rRNA from 1 species
AUUGAACGCUGGCGGCAGGCCUAACACAUGCAAGUCGAGCGGAUGAAGGGAGCUUGCUCCUGGAUUCAGCGGCGGACGGGUGAGUAAUGCCUAGGAAUCUGCCUGGUAGUGGGGGAUAACGUCCGGAAACGGGCGCUAAUACCGCAUACGUCCUGAGGGAGAAAGAGGGGGAUCUUCGGACCUCACGCUAUCAGAUGAGCCUAGGUCGGAUUAGCUAGUUGGUGGGGUAAAGGCCUACCAAGCCGACGAUCCGUAACUGGACUGAGAGGAUGAUCAGUCACACUGGAACUGAGACACGGUCCAGACUCCUACGGGAGGCAGCAGUGGGGAAUAUUGGACAAUGGGCGAAAGCCUGAUCCAGCCAUGCCGCGUGUGUGAAGAAGGUCUUCGGAUUGUAAAGCACUUUAAGUUGGGAGGAAGGGCAGUAAGUUAAUACCUUGCUGUUUUGACGUUACCAACAGAAUAAGCACCGGCUAACUUCGUG